GGGGAUUUAGCUCAGCGGUAGAGCGCUUGCCUAGGAAGCGCAAGGCCCUGGGUUCGGUUCCCAGCUCCG
rfam:Rattus norvegicus chromosome 13, whole genome shotgun sequence.